GCUGUUCAGGGAAAGGAGAUCCUGCAGGGGAGAAACUGCUGCUUAUAUGACUAAUGGGGCUCCAGCAGCCCAUAAGGUCCUCCUCUGCUUAUUCCCAGCCUAUCAGCAUUGGUUGCUGGUCUCCAGCCGUGACGUGUCUGCCCAGUAUUAAGACAAAAAAAAAGUUCUCACUUAUGUAAGUGGUGUUUGUGGUAUAUAUUGGGCCCAGUAUCUCAGUUUCAAAGUCAUGGAACGUUGUCAGCGUGAAAGAGAACCUAAGGGUAAAGGGGAGUGAACUUAAAGAUGGAGAGUGAAGAUUUGGCAAGAGAGAAAAAAGUUUAAUCUUGAAGAACCAAACCAAGACAUGAUCAAAUGCAGUUACUGCCAGGAAGGACAGCAGCUUCAUUAUUAAGUGCAAGCACACAAAUAAAAAUGUUUUUGCUUCUUU